GACGAACGCUGGCGGCGUGCUUAACACAUGCAAGUCGAACGGAAAGGCCCUGCUUGCAGGGUACUCGAGUGGCGAACGGGUGAGUAACACGUGGGUGAUCUGCCCUGCACUUCGGGAUAAGCCUGGGAAACUGGGUCUAAUACCGGAUAGGAGCCAUUCUUAGUGUGAUGGUUGGAAAGUUUUUUCGGUGUAGGAUGAGCUCGCGGCCUAUCAGCUUGUUGGUGGGGUAAUGGCCUACCAAGGCGGCGACGGGUAGCCGGCCUGAGAGGGUGGACGGCCACAUUGGGACUGAGAUACGGCCCAGACUCCUACGGGAGGCAGCAGUGGGGAAUAUUGCACAAGGGGCGCAAGCCUGAUGCAGCGACGCCGCGUGGGGGAGGACGGCCUUCGGGUUGUAAACUCCUUUCGCUAGGGACGAAGCUUUUUGUGACGGUACCUAGAGAAGAAGCACCGGCUAACUACGUG
rnacentral:rRNA from 1 species